AUUGAACGCUGGCGGAAUGCUUUACACAUGCAAGUCGAACGGCAGCACGGACUUCGGUCUGGUGGCGAGUGGCGAACGGGUGAGUAAUGUAUCGGAACGUGCCCAGUCGUGGGGGAUAACGUAGUGAAAAUUACGCUAAUACCGCAUACGAUCUAUGGAUGAAAGCGGGGGAUCGCACGACCUAGCGCGAUUGGAGCGGCCGAUAUCAGAUUAGGUAGAUGGUGGGGUAAAGGCCCACCAAGCCAACGAUCUGUAGCUGGUCUGAGAGGACGGCCAGCCACACUGGAACUUAGACACGGUCCAGACUCCUACGGGAGGCAGCAGUGGGGAAUUUUGGACAAUGGGCGAAAGCCUUAUCCAGCCAUUCCGCGUGCAGGAUGAAGGCCCUCGGGUUGUAAACUGCUUUUGUACAGAACGAAAAGGUUUCUACGAAUACUAGGAGCUCAUGACGGUUCUGUAAGAAUAAGCACCGGCUAACUACGUGCCAGCCGCCGCGGUAA
rnacentral:rRNA from 1 species